rnacentral:misc_RNA from 1 species
GGCUUAACAAGAAGACUUGUUUUAUGACUAGGCCGUGUUUUGCUUUCAGUUGUAUUGCUGGUUAUUUUGCCUAAAUUUUUGGAGUGUUACUUGCAUACGUUGAUGGUUNACAAGUCUUCUUGUUAAGCCUUACAAGCAGCAUCAAAAGGUGAACCAAGAGGCUCAACAAAAUAAAAAGCCUAGGUGCAGGGAUAGUUCUGUCUAACAAACUAAUAGAUAUUAACCUGCAGGCGGGGUUCAACUCCCAGCCAAGGAGCAUCAAAACC